UACGGAAGGCAGCAGUGGGGAAUAUUGCACAAUGGGCGCAAGCCUGAUGCAGCCAUGCCGCGUGUAUGAAGAAGGCCUUCGGGCUGUAAAGUACUUUCAGUCGUGAGGAAGGUGUUAAGGUUAAUAACCUUAGCAAUUGACGUUAGCGACAGAAGAAGCACCGGCUAACUCCGUGCCAGCAGCCGCGGUAAUCGGAGGGUGCGAGCGUUAAUCGGAAUUACUGGGCGUAAAGGGCACGCAGGCGGUUAAUUAAGUUGGAUGUGAAAUCCCCGGGCUUAACCUGGGAAUGGCAUUCAAGCUGGUUAGCUAGAGUCUUGUAGAGGGGGUAGAAUUCCAUGUGUAGCGGUGAAAUGCGUAGAGAUGUGGAGGAAUACCGGUGGCGAAGGCGGCCCCUGGGACAAGGACUGACGCUCAUGUGCGAAAGCGUGGGGAGCAAACAGGGAUUAGAUACC
rnacentral:rRNA from 1 species